UUACAAUGUUGCCACCGGAUUUGAAACGAAAAAAAAAUUAUAAAUUUGUGAAUUUCAAAAAAAAAAAAUUGAUAAAGUUAAAAAAAUAAUGUUUAAAAAGUUUAAUUACCUAAAUAAUUCUUUACGACGUUGCCACCUGAUUUUAAACGUAAAAAAUAAAUUUAAAAAAUUGUGUAUUUCAAAUUAAAAAUAAUUUUCACCUUGCAGCAACUUACAUUAUCGUGUUUUGUCUCUUUUUUUAAUGUUUUUAAAUUAUUUUUUUACGUUUUUACGGUAAAUAUUUUUAAAUACAGUUGGCAACUGCCGAAAAAAACUAAAAUUUGGCAAAAUAAUACAAAAUGUAUUUCAACCACAUACAACUAAAAGUAUAAUUGAGAUAACCUUCCGCCAGGUAUUUCUCUUCUGUUAAAUAUAUUUUUGAAUAGAGUUGCCACCUAUUGGAAAAUUUACAUCUGAUUAAAAUAGUACAAAAUGUGUCUUAAAGAUCAAAGUUUCAUAAAAAUCUUCUAAAAAGUAUAGUGUUCUUAUUAGAGGUUUUUCUUAACCAGAGUUGCCACCUAUAAAAAUACAAAUUUUAGCAAACAACGUUGUAAAACAUAAAUUUUUAUACAUAUAAAUUUUUAUCUCGAAGAACAAAUAAAAAUUUCCACUUGAUUGCUAUAAAGAUCAAAAUGAGUUGUGUACAUCCAUAUGUAUAUACAUAUUCAAAUUAAUUGAAAGCUAUGUGAUCUUUUAUUUUGCAAUAAAGAUGCCUUGGCUUUGCUGAUCUUAGACACACUUUGCGAUACAUAAAUCCAUCCACAACUCAGACAUAUAGCAGAUAAAGACAGACACACACACACGACAGUUCCCAUGUGUCUAUUUAUAUACGAGAGCAUGUGAAUGAUACAAUUCAAAUAAAUAUUAAAACUAGAUUGCGUAGAAAACUUUUCCUCCCGGCGCAUAUCAGUGAAAAGUAAUUUUUAUCGCACGUUGUCUGUUGUUUAUAUGCAUGAGUGUACACAAAUAUCAUAUGUCUCUCUAGGUUUAUUAAUUCAUUGGCUUGCACGUGCAUAUUGCUGCAAAAGGGUGGAGCGGCUCCCAUGAGAGAAAAUAAUUCAUUUUUAUACUACUAAUUGGUUUAGUUCAGCAAAUUAUAAAAAAAGAAGGAAAAAUAUAAUCUUUCCAGUAGUCCCAGUGGAUAUGAGUGUCGAAACGAUCUAUUUAUGACUGUUUAUCCCGUUUUAUUUAUUCCUGAAACCUCGCCCAACAAAAUUAAGGUAGUAAUUCGAGCAAAUAUAUGCUUUGUAUUUGGAAUUGUGAAACUAGACAAUUCAGUGUGGUAGAAAUAAUAUCUAAUAUAUUACUAUAGUUCUUCCUGAUCUUAAACUGUUAUAUACUAAGGUAUGCAUACUGGCGAUGGAGAUUAUUUUAAAAUAGAUAUUCGAGAUAAAAGAUGAGGCCCACCCAAUCUGAAUCAAAAUACCAGUUUUCGCUUUUCAUACUCCCACUUUAAUGAAAGUACCUUUUAAAAGCUUAAGCUGGAAGUUGUCAUAAAGUCUUAAGCGAAUUCGUAAAACAAGACUACAAGUAUAACGGAAUAUAAAAAAACUGAUAAAAGAAUCAAAUAGAAUAAUGCCAGUAUAAAACAGAAAACGAAUUCGCGAACAGAAAUGAUAACAAAAAGGUUGAAAAAAUAUGCAAAAAUCACAGAUGAUAUGACAUUUUCAUCGCGUCAAAUUAUAAAUAGUAAGCAAUCAGCUGUUAGGAUGGCAUCACGUUCUAUGAGAUCGCCUUAAUCAAAAAACAAGGCAAUAUUUGAAGAAAGCAAUUUCAAUACUUCACGCAAAUGAGCUAAAGGACUGAAGUAAAUUCAUGUAAAAUUGACACUUUCAUCUGACCUUGGAAUACUAUAAAGUGAUUAUCUCAAGCAAGUCGAAAAAUAUUGAAAAUUGAUCUCCGAAGUCAUAUGUCUAAGAAGAAGAUGUUCACAGAUCUUCACGGUAACUAUAUAAAUAAUUAAAAUUGUCGUUUCUUGGAAUCGGAAAGUUCGUACGUGAAAGAUGAGAAGCUAAUCUGUACUCAGAGCAAAAAGACAGUUUUCGGAGUGGUGACAUUGUAGACUUUUAAAGAGGUACCAUCCAAUAAUGUGUUAACCGCUCCAACGACAGUUGGGUUUUUAUCCUGUCAAAGACUGUUAACUCGACAGGAUUCUUAAAAAUUAGUUUGGGAAUGUUUCUUUAGCUACAACAACAACAAUAAUAAUCUAAGGUUUUGGAAAAAUCUUAAGUAAGAUUCGCAAUAUAACGCGAUCACCUGUUAAGUUCGACACAACAUCACUAAAAAUGGACUCAACUUCAAAAAAUAGAAACUGGUCGAGCUAUGUACGUAUACAUAUAUGUAUAUUUUGGUCUAUAUAUGAAUAUGGAGCAGUCUUAACAAAAGAUCACACUUACAUGGAACUGAAAAAACGCUUGAAAAACAAGUUGAGAAAUAUUGUAAACUAAGUGAUCUCCGAAGACAAUGUUGUAUAGUUCUAGAAAAAAAUUCUUCGAACCUUAGUGGCGAAAAGAGAGAGAGAGAGCAAAUAUUCCACAGCGUUUAUAUAAAAAAGUAAAACUGUGGGUUCUUGGAGCUCUAGAAAUCGGAUAACGUUUAUAUUCUACUCCAUGGCAUUGUAAAUAAGCUAGUGUAUACUGAGAAACAUCGUAAAGGCGGAUGUCGGCUGGAGCUUUCUUUUAAAUCAGAUUAAAUGUUAAUUGUUUUUUAAGACCAAGUUUGUGACAUUAGGGACUUGUAGCCGUUAGACAUAAGUUGUUAACCGUACCCACAGCAACUGGAUCUCAGAUGUUUACCGGCCAGAAAGUUUUAACUCGGCAGGAUUCUUCAAAAUUAGUUUGGGAAUGUUUUCUUCAGCUACAACGACAACAAUAAUAAUCUAAGGUUUUGGAAAAAUUGCUUAGCUGGAUGACUAUUGUAACUUAGUCGAGGCGCAUGAAGUUGUCUUCCACAAAUAACGGAAAUAUUUGCGCAAUCGAAGUAUCAAAGUAACAAAAAACUUUUUCCUAAGUGGUUAGGUGGGUUUCAAAAUUUAAAAAAAAAAGUGUGUGCAAUAUGUUUAAAACGUUAUAUUUGAAAAAAACAUUAUCUAAGAAGUAGCAUUUUUUUAUUUUAAUUACAACUAUUUUUUUCGAGCCAAUAUAUGUCGAAAAUUUUACCAAAAAAGUGAGUUUUUUUUUGGUUUAAAUUCUGUCGAAAAUUCAAAUUUCAAUAUUUUUUUAUUUCCUUCGUUCAUUAACUGGAUUUACCCAUGUGCUAUCGAAAUAUUUUUGGUUUAUUGUUUUUAGUUGAACCAAUCAUUAGUUAUGAUGUCAAGGUGAGAGCUUUUUUUUGGACACGUCAUGGGAGAUGUGGUGCCAACGGCUGAGUUUUUGGAAUUUUUAUAUAAAAAUACUGUUAAAUAUGUAUUUUUGAAACGCUGAAUUGUUUAAAUUUAUUGCAUAUAUUAAAAAAAAAAUAUAUAAAAAUACCCUUGUUUUUAGCCUCUAAAACCCACCUAACCCCUUAAACAAAUUUAUGUGAAGUUCAUAUUAGCGAAUUCCUACGCUAUUGAAAUUUAUGCUUAUAUUUAUUAUGCACAAAUAAUAUUUAUAUCCGUUCUCGAGACUAUUAAAAUUUAUAUUAAUUGUUUAUGUGACUCCAGAGUCAUGUCUACAACAUUUUUUACGAGCAAUUUCUCAUAUGUAUUCUAUAUAGAUAGCCGCCCAAACUAUUUAAUGGGUGUGUAUACAUACUUAUGUCUCGCCGCAUGCAUGUACUACUUAUGAGCCUGCAUGUUUACAUAAAAAGUCAUGUUUCAACACAUGUAACUAUACUCGUAUGUAUGUAUAUGAAAGUCUAUAUGUCUGCAAGUAGAUAUGUCUGUAUGUCUUUGUGUGAACGCUCCAGCAUGACACAUCAAAUAUUUGCGUUUAAUUUAUAACGGUAUGUAUAUUAAUUAAUUUAAACACAUUCAACAAAAAGGGCAAUGCGAUUGUGUUACCCAGACGCUAAUUACUUUUACUUGAGACGAACAAAUAUUGCUUGUCGGUAUGUAUGUAUGUAUGUGCCUGAGCGCUGAGCUGGCAUCGCUGGACGCCCCGUCGAAAAGCUAAGCAUUGGAAAAAUAAUGGAAAAAUUCACUUUGUACAACACGAAACGCUUGUAAAUGACCAAAAGUGAAAAAAGUGAAAUUGAGCGCAGGCGCACACCAGAGGCGCAGCGCCGCCUGAUCGCGUUUAAUGCGCCAACUUUGACAGCAUCGCGCGCAGGCAACAUAUUUACGAUGUAUGUAUGUAUUUGAGAUACAUAAAAUAUUAGUUUUGUGUUGUUGUUGUUGUUGUGCUGUUGCAGGCCGGCUAAACAACUUUUACUGCCGCAAAUCAACAUUAACUUGUUGCAGCUGGCUAAUGACCAAAUGUCAAGGCGACGCGUCGCGACGUCGGCGGGGCAACAGCCGUACCACCGCAUACAUAUGUAUGUAUAUACACUUGUGUGUGUGCGCCGCGUCGCUGCUCGCAUACCAAAGCACAUCAGUUAGUUACCAGUUACCUGCAUUAGAUUGUUGCAUCGGCUCUAUGUUGGCCUGCAAGCCACCGGUUUCUUGUUUCGGCUGCUGCUGCUGCUGCUCUUGCUCUUGCUCCUUAUUUACCGUUGCAGUCGGCGCUGUUACAGUAUUACCAUUCGUUGUGGCUUCAACCGAUUGCUCCGCCACUGGCUUGACGGCCACUACGACAACGGCGGUGGGCGCAACGGCGACGGGGGUGGCGCUGUCCACAUUAUCGCUGGCAACAGCAACAACAUUUUCCACUUUGUUGCCGAUUUCAAUAUCUUUAUCGUUUUCGGACGGCAUGAUUUCUAUAUAUACUACUGCUACUUAAUUUGUUUUUGUUGUUUUAUUUUUUUUAUUGUUAUUGUUGUGGUUUGUGCAAAUUGAGUUUUUUUAUUUUCUGUGAUUUUUGAAAUAUUUUCGCUGCAAUCUUUUGUGCAACGAACGGUUUUUGCUUUGUGUGUCGCACGCAAUUCUGCAAUGCACACGGUUAGCCAACAACAACAAACACUAUAUGUUGU